rnacentral:rRNA from 1 species
UACAGAGGUCUCAAGCGUUGUUCGGAUUCAUUGGGCGUAAAGGGCUCGUAGGUGGCCAACUAAGUCAGACGUGAAAUCCCUCGGCUUAACCGGGGAACUGCGUCUGAUACUGGAUGGCUUGAAUUCGGGAGAGGGAUGCAGAAUUCCAGGUGUAGCGGUGAAAUGCGUAGAUAUCUGGAGGAAUACCGGUGGCGAAGGCGGCAUCCUGGACCGACAUUGACGCUGAGGAGCGAAAGCUAGGGGAGCAAACGGG